rnacentral:rRNA from 1 species
UACGGAGGGGGCGAGCGUUAUUCGGAAUUAUUGGGCGUAAAGGGCGCGUAGGCGGCCUGAUAAGUCAAAGGUGAAAUCCCUCGGCUCAACUGAGGAAUUGCCUUUGAAACUGUCAGGCUUGAGGCCGGGAGGGGGUGGCGGAAUUCCCAGUGUAGCGGUGAAAUGCGUAGAUAUCGGGAGGAACACCCGUAGCGAAGGCGGCACUCUGGGCCGGUACUGACGCUGAGGAGCGAAAGCGUGGGGAGCAAACAGG